rnacentral:rRNA from 1 species
UACGUAGGGGGCUAGCGUUGCUCGGAAUCACUGGGCGUAAAGCGCACGUAGGCGGCUCUUUAAGUCAGGGGUGAAAUCCUGGAGCUCAACUCCAGAACUGCCCUUGAUACUGAGGAGCUUGAGUCCGGGAGAGGUGAGUGGAACUGCGAGUGUAGAGGUGAAAUUCGUAGAUAUUCGCAAGAACACCAGUGGCGAAGGCGGCUCACUGGCCCGGUACUGACGCUGAGGUGCGAAAGCGUGGGGAGCAAACAGG